UAAUUAAGAGUAGCAUAAAUUAUAAACAAUAAAAUCAAAUUAAUAGUACAAAAAAGUCCAUCACUGCGCAGUAGUUGUUGAUCCAAAAAGCAGCAACAUAAAAUAACAGUUUUUCAAGUAUUCAAAAAACAACAGCAUAUCAAGCAUUCCAAAAAGCAACAGCAUAAAACAACAUGUAUUUUCAAAUAUUUCAAAAAGCAACAACAUAAAGUAACAUGUAUUUUCAAGCAUUCCAAAAAUCAACUACACAAAAUAACAGGUGAUUGCAAACAAAUGUUGCUAUGUCUAUUAUGGAUUCGUUUAUGGUUGUGUAUGGGUUGUUUAACAUAUGAGCAAAGUGUGGUUAGACAUUGGUUUGAAAUAGAAUAAUUAUUUUUGUCGGUUCAGAAUAAUUGUGUUGUGUUGAUUGUGGUUACUGAUUAAAACUACCUAUAAUCAUUACUUAGUAAGAGGAUGAGGUUUUAUGUAUUUAAUUUGUUUGUCUCAAUAUGGUUGUGUUGAAUGAAGAUUUUGUAAUGUAAAAUUCACUUUUAAUGUAAGGAGCGCAUUGUUCCCGGGAUGGUUAAGUGAAAAUUUUGAAAUGUAGAACUGUUAAUGUAAGCUGAAGAUUCCAAUAUAUAGAGAUUUGAUUGGACGGAAUCGGUUCAUUGUUGAUAUUUGCAAGCCUGAAAAGCUUUUUGCACCAAAGGUAUUAUUACAGAAUGUAGAAUUUGUCCUUUUGUGCUUUUGACUGAAUGAUAUAUAGUAUUGAUGCAAAUGUAUUAAUUUAAAAAGUAUUCAAUUUAAACAAGCAAGAUUGCUUGUACCGGAACAUGGAAGCACCGCUCCACUUGACACUCCUACCUUAAGGUAAAAAUAUUUUAUCAUUUUAUUAAUUUUUAAAUUUAUUAUUUGAUAUAACUGCAAAAAUAGAGAAAAAAAAGGGUUGAUGUAAGAGAGUUAUUGGAUUUUGAAUUUGGAGUUUUGAGGUUGGAGAUUUGGAGAGAGAGGGAAGGGAGGAUAGGUCUAGGAUUUAUAUUUAUAUAUUAUAUAUAUAUUUAUACAAUAAUAGAGUACUCUGACUACUAAUUAAGAGUAUCAUAAAUUAUAAACAAUAAAAAUCAAAUUAAUAGUACAAAAAAGUCCAUCAGUGCGCAGUAGCUGUUGAUCCAAAAAGCAACAACAUAAAAUAAUAGUUUUUUCAAGUAUUCAAAAAACUAGCAGCAUAAAGCAGCAAGUUGUUUCAAGCAUUCCAAAAAGCAACAUCAUGAAGUAAUAGAUAUUUGUAAAUAUUUCAAAAAGCAACAGCAUUAAGUAACAACUAUUUUAAAGCAUUCCAAAAUUCAACUACAUAAAGUAACAGGUGAUUGCAAACAAAUGUUGCUAUUUCUAUUAUGGAUUCGUGUGUAUUUGUUGUUUAACAUAUGAGCAAAGUGUGGUUAGACUUUAGUUUGAAAUAUAAUAAUUAUUUUUGUGUGUUCAGAAUGAAUGUGUUGUGUUGAAGGUUACUGAUUAAAACUACCUAUAAUAAUCAUUACUUAGUAAGAAUUGUGGAUGAGAUUUUAUGUAUUUAAUUUGUUUGUCUCAAUAUGGUUGGGUUGAAUGAAGAUUUUGUAAUGUAAAAUUCACUUUUAAUGUAAGGAGCACAUUGUUCCUGGGAUGGUUAAGUGAAAUUUUUGAAAUGUAGAAUUCACUAUUAAUGUAAGCUAAAGAUUGGAAGUAUAUAGAGAUUCGAUUGGAGAGGAAUCGGUUCAUUGUUGAUAUUUGCAAGCAUGAAAAGUUUUUUGCAUUAAAGGUAUUAUUACUAAAAGUAGAAUUUGUCCUUUUGUGCUUUUGACUGAAUGAUUUAUAGUAUUGAUGCAAAUGUAUUAACUUUUUGGGAAUUUAUUUGUAGGUUAUUAUACUGAUUUUUGCAAGAUUGCUCAAUUUAAAAAGUAUUCAGUUCCAAUGGGAGAUGAGGUACUACUUAUCUUAUUAGGUUUUUUUUACACUUGUGUUUAAACUGAGUAAACAGAAAAGAAAGAACAAUACCCGCUUGUUCUGGAACAUGGAAGCACCGCUCCACUUGACUCUCCUACUUUAAGGUAAAAAUAUUUUAUCAUUCUAUUAAUUUUUUAAUUUAAUAUUUGAUAAUUGCAAAAAUUGAGAAAAAGAAGGGUGGAUGCAAGAGAGUUAUUGGAUUUUGAAUUUGGAGGUUGGAGGUUGGAGAGAGAGGGAAGAGAGGGUAGGUCUAGGACUAGGUCUAGGUCAUAGAUUAUUAUUUUUAUAGGUUCUAAAUAUAUAUAUUUAUAUAUUAUAUAUAUUUAUAUUUAUUAUAAAUAUUUAUAUAUAUGUACUUAUAUAUACAAUAAUAGAGUAAUCUGACUACUAAUUAAGAGUAUCAUAUAAACAAUAAAAAUCAAAUUAAUAGUACAAAAAAGUCCAUCAGUGCACAGUAGUUGUUGAUCCAAAAAGCAACAACAUAAAAUAAUAGUUUUUUCAAGUAUUCAAAAAAGCAACAGUAUAAAGCAGGAAGUUGUUUCAAGAAUUCCAGAAACCAACAACAUAAAAUGUAAAUAUUUCAAAAAGCAAUAGCAGGUGAUUGCAAACAAAUGUUGCUAUUUCUUUUAUGGAUUCACUUAUGGUUAUGUAUUGAUUGUUUAACAUACGAGCAAAGUGUUGUUUGAAAUACAAUAAUUAUUUUUUUGUGUUCAGAAUGAAUGUGUUGUGUUGAUUGUGGGGUUACUGAUUAAAACUACCUAUAAUAAUCAUUACUUGGUAAGAAUUGUGGAUGAGGUUUUAUGUAUUUAAUAAUUUGUCUGUCUCAAUAUGAUUGGGUUGAAUGAAGAUUUUGUAAUGUAAAAUUCACUUUUAAUUGUAAGGAGCACGUUGUUCCUGGGAUGGUCAAGUGAAAUUUUUGAAAUGUAGAAUUCACUAUUAAUGUAAGCUGAAGAGUGGAAGUAUAUAGAGACGGAAUCGGUUCAUUGUUGAUAUUUGCAAGCCUGAAAAGCUUUUUGCACCAAAGGUAUUAUUACAGAAUGUAGAAUUUGUCCUUUUGUGCUUUUGACUGAAUGAUAUAUAGUAUUGAUGCAAAUGUAUUAAUUUAAAAAGUAUUCAAUUUAAACAAGCAAGAUUGCUUGUACCGGAACAUGGAAGCACCGCUCCACUUGACACUCCUACCUUAAGGUAAAAAUAUUUUAUCAUUUUAUUAAUUUUUAAAUUUAUUAUUUGAUAUAACUGCAAAAAUAGAGAAAAAAAAGGGUUGAUGUAAGAGAGUUAUUGGAUUUUGAAUUUGGAGUUUUGAGGUUGGAGAUUUGGAGAGAGAGGGAAGGGAG
rnacentral:lncRNA from 1 species